rnacentral:rRNA from 1 species
GACGAACGCUGGCGGCGUGCUUAACACAUGCAAGUCGAACGGAAAGGCCCUGCUUUUUUGUUGUGCUCGACUUGCGAACGGGCGAGUAACACGUGAGUAACCUACCCUCGCUUUUGGGAUAACUUCCGGUAACUGACGCUAACUCAUGCUAGGUGCUCCCGCUGCAUGGUGGGGGUUGGGAAGUUUCGGCGGUUGGUGAUGGUCUCGCGGCUUAUCAGCUUGGUGGUGGGGUAGUGGCUUACCAAGGCGUGGACGGGUAGCCGGCCUGAGAGGGUGACCGGCGACAUAGGGACUGAGAUACGGCCCAGACGCCUACGGUAGGCAGCAGUGGGGAAUAUUGCACAAUGGGCGGAAGCCGGAUGCAGCAACGCCGCGUGUGGGAUGACGGCCUUCGGGGGGUAAACCGCUUUCGCCUGGAACGAAGCGUGAGUGACGGGAAUGGGUAAAGAAGCACCGGCUAAAUACGUG